UGCGAAGCGAAGCAGUGAUGUGAAGCAAAUCGUACCAAAAGCCGGUCCCAGUUCGGAUAAGAGGCUGAAACUCGCCUCUUUGAAGUCGGAAUCGCUAGUAAUCGCAGAUCAGCAUGUUGCGGUGAAUACGUUCCCGGGUCUUGUACACACCGCCCGUCAAACCAUGAGAGUCACCAACACCCGAAGUCCGCUUUGGCGGCCUAAGGUGGGGGAGAUGAUUGGGGUUAAGUCGUAACAAGGUACC
rnacentral:rRNA from 1 species